rnacentral:misc_RNA from 1 species
CUCCUCAAUCAUUGGCAAUAAAUGAUUAAGUUCUUCAACCUGUGUCCAAUUUAUGCCAGUAUUGUUUAAAACUAAGAUACGGAUGUUUUUCAGUUGAAGUAGCCCAGUAAUGUUCUGCGACAUUAAAUUAUCAGACAAAUUGACGGCUGUAAGAGCUGGUAAUUGCUCACAAAUAGUACUGACAUCCUUCCAUUCUGAAAUCAAAUUUCCUGUCAAGUCUAACUCCUUCAGAUUUGGUACUAAACUGCUGAUAUCGCUUGGGUUUCCAGGGGUGCUAACGCCUAAAUAAGGUAGUGAAGCACCUUUCAACUCUUCAAAUCUACUUAGCUUAUCUUG